rnacentral:rRNA from 1 species
CAGUCGCCGCGGUAAUACGGAGGGGGCUAGCGUUGUUCGGAAUUACUGGGCGUAAAGCGCACGUAGGCGGCUUGGUAAGUUAGAGGUGAAAGCCCGGGGCUCAACCCCGGAACUGCCUUUGAAACUAGAUGACUGGAAUCUUGGAGAGGUCAGUGGAAUUCCGAGUGUAGAGGUGAAAUUCGUAGAUAUUCGGAAGAACACCAGUGGCGAAGGCGACUGACUGGACAAGUAUUGACGCUGAGGUGCGAAAGCGUGGGGAGCAAACAGGAUUAGAUACCCCAGUAGUCCCUGUCUCUUAUAC